GCCUAGAUAGCUCAGUUGGUUAGACAGAGCACGGUGCCGAUAACGCCAAGGUUGCAGGUUUGAUCCCUGUAUGGGACA